rnacentral:rRNA from 1 species
AUGCAAGUCGUACGAGAGUUUUUAAUUCUAGUGGCGGACGGGUGAGUAACACGUGAGAAUUUACCUUUAGGAGGGGGAUAACAAUUGGAAACGAAUGCUAAUACCCCAUAUGCUUUUGAGUGAAAUGGAUUUAUAAUUAUCCGCCUAAAGAAAAGCUCGCGGCUGAUUAGCUUGUUGGUAAGGUAAGAGCUUACCAAGGCGACGAUCAGUAUCUGGUUUGAGAGGACGAUCAGACACACUGGAACUGAGACACGGUCCAGACUCCUACGGGAGGCAGCAGUGGGGAAUUUUCCGCAAUGGGCGAAAGCCUGACGGAGCAAUACCGCGUGAGGGAAGACUGCCUAUGGGUUGUAAACCUCUUUUUUCAGGGAGGAAUAAAAUGACGUGUACCUGAAGAAUAAGCAUCGGCUAACUCCGUGCCAGCAGCCGCGGUAAGACGGAGGAUGCAAGUGUUAUCCGGAAUCACUGGGCGUAAAGCGUCUGUAGGUGGUUUAAUAAGUCAACUGUUAAAUCUUGAGGCUCAACUUCAAAACCGCAGUCGAAACUAUUAGACUAGAGUAUAGUAGAGGUAAAGGGAAUUUCCAGUGGAGCGGUGAAAUGCGUAGAUAUUGGAAAGAACACCGAUGGCGAAAGCACUUUACUGGGCUAUUACUAACACUCAGAGACGAAAGCUAGGGUAGCAAAUGGGAUUAGAUACCCCAGUAGUCCUAGCCGUAAACUAUGGAUACUAGAUGUUGAACAGAUCGACCUGUGCAGUAUCAAAGCUAACGCG